rnacentral:rRNA from 1 species
AUUGAACGCUGGCGGAAUGCUUUACACAUGCAAGUCGAACGGCAGCACGGGGCAACCUGGUGGCGAGUGGCGAACGGGUGAGUAAUACAUCGGAACGUGCCCAAUCGUGGGGGGAUAACGUAGCGAAAGUUACGCUAAUACCGCAUACGAUCUACGGAUGAAAGCGGGGGAUCGCAAGACCUCGCGCGAAUGGAGCGGCCGAUGUCAGAUUAGGUAGUUGGUGGGGUAAAGGCUCACCAAGCCAAUGAUCUGUAGCUGGUCUGAGAGGACGACCAGCCACACUGGAACUGAGACACGGUCCAGACUCCUACGGGAGGCAGCAGUGGGGAAUUUUGGACAAUGGGCGCAAGCCUGAUCCAGCCAUUCCGCGUGCAGGAUGAAGGCCUUCGGUUGUUAAACUGCUUUUGUACGGUAACGAAACGGUACUGCCCUAAUACGGCGGGCGUAAUGACGGUACCGUAACGAAUAAGACACCGGCUAACUACGUGCCACGCAGCCGCGGUAAGGUACG